UAGCGAAGGGGGCUAGCGUUGUUCGGAAUCACUGGGCGUAAAGGGCGCGUAGGCGGCUUUGAUAAAGUCGGGGGUGAAAGCCUGUGGCUCAACCACAGAAUUGCCUUCGAUACUGUAGAGCUUGAGACCGGAAGAGGUAAGUGGAACUGCGAGUGUAGAGGUGAAAUUCGUAGAUAUUCGCAAGAACACCAGUGGCGAAGGCGGCUCACUGGCCCGA
rnacentral:rRNA from 1 species